CCUACGGGAGGCAGCAGUAGGGAAUCUUCCGCAAUGGACGAAAGUCUGACGGAGCAACGCCGCGUGAGCGAAGAAGGCCCUCGGGUCGUAAAGCUCUGUUGUUAGGGAAGAACAAGUACCGGAGUAACUGCCGGUACCUUGACGGUACCUAACCAGAAAGCCACGGCUAACUACGUGCCAGCAGCCGCGGUAAU
rnacentral:rRNA from 1 species